rnacentral:rRNA from 2 species
GACGAACGCUGGCGGCGUGCUUAACACAUGCAAGUCGAACGAUGAAGCCUAGCUUGCUAGGUGGAUUAGUGGCGAACGGGUGAGUAAUACGUGAGUAACCUACCUUUAACUCUGGGAUAAGCCCGGGAAACUGGGUCUAAUACCGGAUACGACCAAUCUCCGCAUGGGGUGUUGGUGGAAAGCGUUAUGUAGUGGUUAUAGAUGGGCUCACGGCCUAUCAGCUUGUUGGUGAGGUAACGGCUCACCAAGGCGACGACGGGUAGCCGGCCUGAGAGGGUGACCGGCCACACUGGGACUGAGACACGGCCCAGACUCCUACGGGAGGCAGCAGUGGGGAAUAUUGCACAAUGGGCGCAAGCCUGAUGCAGCGACGCCGCGUGAGGGAUGACGGCCUUCGGGUUGUAAACCUCUGUUAGCAGGGAAGAAGAGAGAUUGACGGUACCUGCAGAGAAAGCGCCGGCUAACUACG